rnacentral:rRNA from 1 species
AUCUAUAAGUCUUGACCAAAUUACGUGCCAGCAGUCGCGGUAACACGUAGAAGACUAGUGUUAUUCAUCUUUAUUAGGUUUAAAGGGUACCUAGACGGAAAAUCAAGCCAUAAUAGGGACUAAUUUUCUAGAGUUUUAUGAGAGAAGGGGUGAAUUUCCGGAGGAAAGUUGAUAUUUAGUGAUACUGGAAGGACGGGUAACGGCGAAGGCAACCUUGUAUGUAAAAACUGACGUUGAGGGACGAAGCCUUGGGUAACGAGAAGGAUUAGAUACCCUAGUAGUCCUUGGAGACAAUUAUGAAUGUCAUAGGCUAGAUAAUUUAGCCUAUAAAUGAAAGUGUAAGCAUUCCACCUCAUGAGUAAAGCGGCAACGCCCAAAUUGAAAUCAUUAGACCGUUUCUGAAACCAGUAGUGAAGUAUGUUAUUUAAUUCGAUGAUCCGCGAAUAACCUUACCACGCAUUGAAUAUUAUUCAAUUAUUACAAGCGCUGCACGGCUGUCUUCAGUUAAUGUCGUGAGAUUUUGGUUCGUUCCUUUAAUUAACGAAAACCCUUGCUUUAUUUGUUUUUAAAGUAGUUCACCGUGAUAUUGGAUGAGAUAAUAGGGACUAAGACAAGUCAUCAUG